CCUACGGGAGGCAACAGUGAGGAAUAUUGGGCAAUGGAGGCAACUCUGACCCAUCCAUGCCGCGUGCAUGAAUAAUGCCCUAUGGGUGGUAGACUGCUUUUAUUUACGAAUAAGCCCUUCUACGUGUAAAAGGCUGAAUGUACUACACGAAUAACCACCGGCUAACUCCGUGCCAGGCAGCCGCGGUAAU
rnacentral:rRNA from 1 species